rnacentral:rRNA from 1 species
GACGGGGCCCGCACAAGCGGUGGAGCAUGUGGUUAAUCGAAGCAACGCGAAGAACCUUACCAGGUCUUGACAUCCCGAUGCUAUUUCUAGAGAUAGAAAGUUACUCGGUACAUCGGUGACAGGUGGUGCAUGGUUGUCGUCAGCUCGUGUCGUGAGAUGUUGGGUUAAGUCCCGCAACGAGCGCAACCCCUACGUUAGUUGCUAACGCGUGAAGGCGAGCACUCUAGACGAACUGCCGUUGACAAAACGGAGGAAGGUGGGAUGACGUCAAAUCAUCAUGCCCCUUAUGUUCUGGGCUACACACGUGCUACAAUGGCCGGUACAGACGGACGCAAAGCCGCGAGGUGGAGCAAAUCCUAAAAAGCCGGUCUCAGUUCGGAUUGCAGGCUGCAAUUCGCCUGCAUGAAGUCGGAAUCGCUAGUAAUCGCAGGUCAGCAUACUGCGGUGAAUACGUUCCCGGGCCUU